rnacentral:rRNA from 1 species
UGGGGAAUAUUGGACAAUGGGCGAAAGCCUGAUCCAGCCAUGCCGCGUGUGUGAAGAAGGUCUUCGGAUUGUAAAGCACUUUAUGUUGGGAGGAAGGGCAGUAAGCGAAUACCUUGCUGUUUUGACGUUACCGACAGAAUAAGCACCGGCUAACUCUGUGCCAGCAGCCGCGGUAUUACAGAGGGUGCAAGCGUUAAUCGGAAUUACUGGGCGUAAAGCGCGCGUAGGUGGUUCGUUAAGUUGAAUGUGAAAGCCCCGGGCUCAACCUGGGAACUGCAUCCAAAACUGGCGAGCUAGAGUAGGGCAGAGGGUGGUGGAAUUUCCUGUGUAGCGGUGAAAUGCGUAGAUAUAGGAAGGAACACCAGUGGCGAAGGCGACCACCUGGGCUCAUACUGACACUGAGGUGCGAAAGCGUGGGGAGCAAACAGG